AUCUUUUUUGUUUCCCAUGAUGGUUUCUUUUGUUUGUGGAUAGGAUCGUAUGUCUUUUUAUUUGUUGAAUAUAUGCAUGUUAUGUUUUCAAGAAAAUAACCCUGUAUCUUGAAGUUUUAUGUUGUACAGUGGGAAUUAAACUUCUUGUGAUUAGCAACUAGGCAGGUGGGAUUUGAAAGAAGAAUUUUGAUUUGCAUAGGAUGAUUGAGGUCAUGUGCACAAAGGGAUAUAGGCUGGCCAUUUAUGAUUGUUUUAGCAAAUUGCUGUUAUAAUUAUGUUUGAAGCUGAGGUAUUGAUAUGCUGGCAGUAAUACUAAAACAUUCAAUGCUAAAUGCUUGAUGCUUAUGAAAUUGAGAGUUGAAUUCCUUGUAAUUAUUGAGAGUAGGCAGCAGAGUGAUAAAAUUAUUUGAACAUUUUCAUGCAGGAAAACUAACAUCAAUCUGGUGAAUUAUUCCUGUGAAACAAUUGCUGUAUGAUGUUUCUUUGAAUGACCAUACGUGGAGGAUAAACAUGAUGUGGUUAGAACUUUCCAGAAUCAUACUUUAUGUUCUUAUCUAUUUUGCUUUUCUCUUUUUAUUCUUCAAAUUGAGAAAUCAAUCCUGUGUAUUAUGGAUAAUUAUUUUACACACUUCUUACUGCAGGCAGGAUAAGAUCCAUUUUGUAGAAAAGGAGAAAUGAGAGAAGAAGAUGCAAAUUAGUCUUGCAUAGAACACAAACUCUGACAUGCCUAUACAAAUCUGUUUAUUACAUUAGAUGAAAGAAUCGGUAUUGAGUCCAUAGAAAGUAGCAUGUACUCCUAAUUUGAACUACUUACCCUCUAUUUAGAUGCUAGGUUUUUGAGGUGAUAUGACAUUGUUUUUCGUGCAGCAUUACUCAUCUUUGCUUUUUUCUUCCAAGAGACCUUGUGGUAGUUGGGUUUUACAAGUUUGAAACUAAGAUGUGUUUGUCAAAUGAUCCAUAAUUGAGAUUUCAAAAAUGAAUUGCUAUGAUAUAGUCACCUGAUCUCAAUUCUACAUUAAGUUAAAUUUGACAAAGAUCUUCUUCAUAAACAUUUGUCUGAAGGUCUGCAAAUGUUACUCUUCACUCCAGAUUCUGGAAGAUAGACCAGUUUCAGAACUCAAAGUAAUGUGCUUUUUUCUACCAGGAAAUUAUCUCAAGUUCUAUGAUGCCAAAAGAAGUGCCUAUCCUGACAUCAAGAUAAUCCCAAACUCUGAUGGGUCUUCUCAUUCAUUGGAUCCCCCAGCUGAUUACUACGAUUUUCAUGAAGUCUUUUAGCUGCACUCGCUGACGCCGGAUUCCUCAUUGGUCUAAAAAGGAACAGAUGGCAAGCUGUGCACCGCUUUUUUGUGAAUUGCAAUAAUAGGAGGUGGAAUCCAGAUGCAAUUGUCUUCAACUCAUCAAAUCACUAUGGAACACCGAGCUACUGGGUGCAAAAAUUCUUCAGAGAGUCAAGUGGAGCAACUCUUCCUGACGCUAAGCUACAGACAAAUUCCUCUACACUUGUUGCAUCUGCAAUUAAUUGGCAAAAUUCAAACUUACCUGAAAAAUAAAGUGUGAAUUUUGGGAACAGCGAAGUGAAUCUCAAAGUUUCCAUUGAUGGAUACUCAUGAUUGUCUGGAUCAACAAAAGGUGCGCUCACAUCCUCUAACGUAAUGGACGAGAAUUCCUUCGUGGAUCCAAAAAAGGUGGUGCCAGCACAAACUAUGAUCGAGAAUGCUGACAAAGACAUGGAUGUUGUACUCUCUCCAUAUUCUUGAACUUCAUUUGAUUUGUUAACAGAAUCACACAAUAUCAGGACGCCACAGAGUGAUUCUUUCUCAUGAUCAUCAAAUUAGAAAAAUAAAUUAAUGCAUGAUGUGUAAAUAUACGAAACAAUCAAAAUAAUGUUACAUGUGGCUGGUGUUUUUGCCUGCUUUUUAUGUUAAUUUAAUAGGCAAAUUUCACCUUGUAAUAUAUAUAUAUAUAGUUUUUUCAAUGUC